CUGACAUUUAUUUCCAGCACUAACCUGCGAUAUUCUGCCACCCUAUAUAAAAACUGCUUUGGUUUAACCACAACUAACUGUCUCACGCUGAUGACUGGUGCCUUGUGAGUGUUGCCUUUGGAGUAGCGUUGGCUAACUGGGCUCAGCGGCUGAAAGUCACC